AUUGAACGCUGGCGGCAGGCUUAACACAUGCAAGUCGAGCGGAGAUGAGGUGCUUGCACCUUAUCUUAGCGGCGGACGGGUGAGUAAUGCUUAGGAAUCUGCCUAUUAGUGGGGGACAACAUUCCGAAAGGGAUGCUAAUACCGCAUACGUCCUACGGGAGAAAGCAGGGGAUCUUCGGACCUUGCGCUAAUAGAUGAGCCUAAGUCGGAUUAGCUAGUUGGUGGGGUAAAGGCCUACCAAGGCGACGAUCUGUAGCGGGUCUGAGAGGAUGAUCCGCCACACGGGGACUGAGACACGGCCCAGACUCCUACGGGAGGCAGCAGUGGGGAAUAUUGGGCAAUGGGGGGAACCCUGAUCCAGCCAUGCCGCGUGUGUGAAGAAGGCCUUAUGGUUGUAAAGCACUUUAAGCGAGGAGGAGGCUACUGAGACUAAUACUCUUGGAUAGUGGACGUUACUCGCAGAAUAAGCACCGGCUAACUCUGUGCCAGCCGCCGCAGUAAAAC
rnacentral:rRNA from 1 species